GAUGAACGCUGGCGGCGUGCUUAACACAUGCAAGUCGAACGGAGUUUGUAUGGAAUGAGUCUUCGGACAAGUGAAAUAUAAACUUAGUGGCGGACGGGUGAGUAACGUGUGGGUAACCUACCCUAUACAGGAGGAUAACAGUAAGAAAUUACUGCUAAAACUGCAUAAGAUUACGAGUUCGCAUGAACGAGUGAUAAAAACUUUAGUGGUAUAGGAUGGGCCCGCAUCUGAUUAGGUAGUUGGUGGAGUAAAAGCCUACCAAGCCGACGAUCAGUAGCCGAUCUGAGAGGAUGACCGGCCACAUUGGGACUGAGACACGGCCCAAACUCCUACGGGAGGCAGCAGUGGGGAAUAUUGGACAAUGGGGGAAACCCUGAUCCAGCGACGCCGCGUGAGUGAAGAAGUAUUUCGGUAUGUAAAGCUCUAUCAGCAGGGAAGAAAAUGACGGUACCUGACUAAGAAGCCCCGGCUAACUACGUGCCAGCAGCCGCGGUAAUACGUAGGGGGCAAGCGUUAUCCGGAUUUACUGGGUGUAAAGGGAGCGUAGACGGCGAUGUAAGUCUGAAGUGAAAGCCCACGGCUCAACUGUGGGACUGCUUUGGAAACUAUGUAGCUAGAGUAUCGGAGAGGCAAGCGGAAUUCCUAGUGUAGCGGUGAAAUGCGUAGAUAUUAGGAGGAACACCGGAGGCGAAGGCGGCUUGCUGGACGAAGACUGACGUUGAGGCUCGAAGGCGUGGGGAGCAAACAGG
rnacentral:rRNA from 1 species